UUCCGGUUGAUCCUGCCGGACCUGACUGCUAUCGGAUUGAUACUAAGCCAUGCGAGUCUUUGCAGUAAUGCAAGGCAUACGGCUCAGUAACACGUAGUCAACCUACCCUAUGGACGAGAAUAAUCUCGGGAAACUGAGCAUAAUUCUUGAUAGAUCAUAAUGCCUGGAAUGGUUUAUGGUUAAAAUGAUUCGUCGCCAUAGGAUGGGACUGCGGCCUAUCAGCUUGUUGGUGAGGUAAUGGCCCACCAAGGCGAUUACAGGUACGGGCUCUGAGAGGAGAAGCCCGGAGAUGGGUACUGAGACACGGACCCAGGCCCUAUGGGGCGCAGCAGGCGAGAAAACUUUGCAAUGUGCGAAAGCACGACAAGGUUAAUCCGAGUGAUUUCUGCUAAAGAAAUCUUUUGCCAGUCGUAAAACCGCUGGUGAAUAAGGGGUGGGCAAGUUCUGGUGUCAGCCGCCGCGGUAAAACCAGCACCUCAAGUGGUCAGGAUGAUUAUUGGGCCUAAAGCAUCCGUAGCCUGCUUUGUAAGUUUUCGGUUAAAUCCAUGUGCUCAACGCAUGGGCUGCCGAAAAUACUGCAUAGCUAGGGAGUGGGAGAGGUAGACGGUACUCAGUAGGUAGGGGUAAAAUCCUUUGAUCUAUUGAUGACCACCUGUGGCGAAGGCGGUCUACCAGAACACGUUCGACGGUGAGGGAUGAAAGCUGGGGGAGCAAACCGGAUUAGAUACCCGGGUAGUCCCAGCUGUAAACGAUGCAGACUCGAUGAUGCAUUGGCAUAAUAGCCAUUGCAGUGUCGCAGGGAAGCCGUUAAGUCUGCCGCCUGGGAAGUACGUACGCAAGUAUGAAACUUAAAGGAAUUGGCGGGGGAGCACCACAAGGGGUGAAGCCUGCGGUUCAAUUGGAGUCAACGCCGGAA
rnacentral:rRNA from 1 species